AAGUCGUAACAAGGUAACCGUAGGUGAACCUGCGGUUGGAUCAUUACUAAAAUUGAGGAGGUGGGGAAUUGUUGACAGCGGCUGUCAAUCUCCAAUCGACAGGGGUUUCUCCCUCUCGUUUGGUGACAGCUGACUGGAAGGCACUGCUCACCUCUGAAUUCCUUUGUGGAACUCAAUGUGAACUGUUCUGUCUCUGGCGGCCGGAUUGGCUCAAACCCAAUCUGUCAGCGUCCCGGGGGGAGUAAUCCCCUCGGACGCCGUGGACAAGCCGUCAAACACUUUGUAGUGUGAACAAACUGAUUUAUUUUUCAUUGUCUGACCUACAUCACGUAAAAAGUAAUGUAAAAAAACAACUUUUGGCAACGGAUCUCUUGGCUCUC
rnacentral:misc_RNA from 1 species